rnacentral:rRNA from 1 species
GACGAACGCUGGCGGCGUGCUUAACACAUGCAAGUCGAACGGAAAGGCCCCCACCUUGGUGGGGGUGCUCGAGUGGCGAACGGGUGAGUAACACGUGGGUGAUCUGCCCUGUACUUCGGGAUAAGCUUGGGAAACUGGGUCUAAUACCGGAUAGGACCAUGGUUUAGUGUCUCAUGGUGGAAAAAUUAUUGUUUUGGUGCAGGAUGAGCUCGCGGCCUAUCAGCUUGUUGGUGGGGUAAUGGCCUACCAAGGCGUCGACGGGUAGCCGGCCUGAGAGGGUGGACGGCCACAUUGGGACUGAGAUACGGCCCAGACUCCUACGGGAGGCAGCAGUGGGGAAUAUUGCACAAUGGGCGCAAGCCUGAUGCAGCGACGCCGCGUGGGGGAUGACGGCCUUCGGGUUGUAAACUCCUUUCGUUAGGGACGAAGCCAUACUUUUUGGG